rnacentral:rRNA from 1 species
AGAGUUUGAUCCUGGCUCAGGACGAACGCUGGCGGCGUGCUUAACACAUGCAAGUCGAACGGUGAAAGGAAGCUUGCUUCCUGGAUCAGUGGCGAACGGGUGAGUAACACGUGAGCAAUCUGCCCUUGACUCUGGGAUAAGCGUUGGAAACGACGUCUAAUACCGGAUACGACCCUCGGAGGCAUCUCCUGGGGGUGGAAAGAAUUUUGGUCAAGGAUGAGCUCGCGGCCUAUCAGCUUGUUGGUGAGGUAAUGGCUCACCAAGGCGACGACGGGUAGCCGGCCUGAGAGGGUGACCGGCCACACUGGGACUGAGACACGGCCCAGACUCCUACGGGAGGCAGCAGUGGGGAAUAUUGCACAAUGGGCGCAAGCCUGAUGCAGCAACGCCGCGUGAGGGACGACGGCCUUCGGGUUGUAAACCUCUUUUAGUAGGGAAGAAGCGAAAGUGACGGUACCUGCAGAAAAAGCACCGGCUAACUACGUGCCAGCAGCCGCGGUAAUACGUAGGGUGCAAGCGUUGUCCGGAAUUAUUGGGCGUAAAGAGCUCGUAGGCGGUUUGUCGCGUCUGCUGUGAAAACCCGAGGCUCAACCUCGGGCCUGCAGUGGGUACGGGCAGACUAGAGUGCGGUAGGGGAGAUUGGAAUUCCUGGUGUAGCGGUGGAAUGCGCGAUAUCAGGAGGAACACCGAUGGCGAAGGCAGAUCUCUGGGCCGUAACUGACGCUGAGGAGCGAAAGCAUGGGGAGCGAACAGGAUUAGAUACCCUAGUAGUCC